UGAGGAAUAUUGGUCAAUGGGCGCAAGCCUGAACCAGCCAUCCCGCGUGCAGGAAGACGGCCCUAUGGGUUGUAAACUGCUUUUCCAGGGGGAGAAACUUGCGCACGUGUUGCGCAAUUGACGGUACCCUGGGAAUAAGCAUCGGCUAACUCCGUGCCAGCAGCCGCGGUAAUACGGAAGAUGCGAGCGUUAUCCGGAUUCAUUGGGUUUAAAGGGUGAGUAGGCGGACUAUUAAGUCAGUGGUGAAAUCCUGCAGCUUAACUGCAGAACGGCCAUUGUUACUGUUAGCCUUGAGUUUGGUUAAGGUAGGCGGAAUUUGUAAUGUAGCGGUGAAAUGCUUAGAUAUUACACAGAACACCAAUUGCGUAGGCAGCUUACUGAGCCGACACUGACGCUGAGGCACGAAAGCGUGGGGAUCGAACA
rnacentral:rRNA from 1 species